GCACCUACACAUGCCUUGGGGCCCUCAGCCUCAGAUGACCUGCCCUGGGCUCUCCAGUUACAGGGAGCAGAAGAGCCUUCCUUUGGGCUAGAAAGUAAUCAUUUAUUGGGCGCCUCUUGAACGCCAGGCGAUGCGAGACUGAAAAUGAUCAAGUCCCUGCUCACAUUUUUGGGAUAGAGGCAUCGGCUCCAGCCUCCCGCUUGGCGCCCGCAACGCGGGGCCGCCGGGGAAAUGAGUCUCUCGGGACUCCCUGGGAGCGUAAGCGUUCGAGGAUCUGACCGGAGGGCCGGGCCGGAAAGCUUGAGAGCCUUCGCUCCCGCAGGUGAGGCGCAGAAAACACUCCCUCGGGGAAGUGCCAGCCCUCCUCGCAGCCCCGCCCUCCGGCCCGCCGCCGGCCUUCGGGGCCGUAGCGGCGCGCAGGGCCCGCAGAGACCGAGACCUGCGCACUACAACUCCCAGGAGGCCUCGCGACCAGACCGCCGAGGGGCCACUAGAGAAAGGUGCGUCUGCGGCGAAUCCCGUCGCCCAGCGCACGGCAGCGGGUGUGCCUGAGUGCGCGUCGCCUCCCAACCAGAGAGGACGUGGCAUACGGCGCCACCGGAAGUU
rnacentral:lncRNA from 10 species